rnacentral:lncRNA from 1 species
GGGGCAUUGGGGUGUGGCCCCUGGGUAGGAUGCUUGCCCAACAUGCAGGAGACCCCAGGUUCCAUCUCCAACAUCACAACAAACAACAAAACUCCCACCUCACUGAAAAGUCAAGUGCAAUAAAGCAAGAAGCUGCUGCGGAACAGCUUGGCCGUUCCUUAGGAAGUUAAAUACAGAGUUAAUUUAGGACCAAGUAAUUCCACUCCUAGAUACAGAACCAGAGCAACCGAAGACACAUGUUCACGACAGCACCAUUUACAAUGGCUAAAAGGUUGAGUGAAACAAAUUCCUAGCAAUGAGGAAGUAAACUGUGGCAUAAUUUAUACUAUAGAAUAUUACUCAGCCCUAAAAAAGAGAGUGUAAUAUGGACACAUGCCACAUUGUGGGUGAACCUUGAAAACACCCUGAGUGCCAGGUACAGGGACACACACUAUAAUCCCAGCAGCUCCAGAGGCUGAGGCAGGAGGAUGGUGAGUUCAAAGCCAGCCUCAGCAACAACAAGGUGCUAAGCAACUCUUUAAGACUCUGUCUCUAAAUAAAAUACAAAACAGAUAAAACAGGCUCAGGGAGAUGGAAACAGGCUGGGGAUGGGCUCAGUCAUAAAGCACCACUGCAUUCAGUCCCUGGUUAAAAAAAAAAAAAAAAAAAAGAGUUCAAGUCCAGUCUGAGUCUCUGAAUGAAUAAAUAAAAAACAAAAAUUUUAAAAG